rnacentral:rRNA from 1 species
AGUUUGAUCCUGGCUCAGAAUCAACGCUGGCGGCGUGCCUCAGACAUGCAAGUCGAACGAUUAAACUUCCUUUCGGGGAAGAUAUAAAGUGGCGUACGGGUGAGUAACACGUAGGUAAUGUACCUUUGGGUGGGGAAUAACUUAGGGAAACUUAAGCUAAUACCGCAUAAUGCAGCGGCUCGAUAUCGAGACAGUUGUUAAAGGAGUAAUCCGCCUAAAGAGCAGCCUGCGGCAGAUUAGCUAGUUGGUAAGGUAAUGGCUUACCAAGGCUACGAUCUGUAACCGACCUGAGAGGGUGGUCGGUCACACUGACACUGAAUAACGGGUCAGACUCCUACGGGAGGCAGCAGUCGGGAAUUUGGGCAAUGGGCGAAAGCCUGACCCAGCAACGCCGCGUGAAGGAUGAAGUCUCUCGGGAUGUAAACUUCGUAAGAAUAGGAAGAAUAAAUGACGGUACUAUUUGUAAGGUCCGGCUAACUACGUG